rnacentral:rRNA from 1 species
GCGCAGGGAGGAAAGAAGAGCCGGGAAUGAAGAGACCGGUGCAAGCGAGGUAGGAGUCUGAAAGGAAAAACCGUCAGACAAUCCGAAGACGUGAUGCGCAGCGAACUGAAGUAGCGAAGCUUCGGCCCCUAACUGCCAAGAAAAGCCGCUAUUGUUUGCAUGACACCCGUACCGUAAACCGACACAGGUGGAUGAGGAGAGAAUCCUAAGGCCGACGGGAGAAGCAUUGUUAAGGAACUCGGCAAAAUGACCCCGUAACUUCGGGAGAAGGGGUGCCUCGAAAGAGGCCGCAGAGAAUUGGCCCAAGCAACUGUUUAGCAAAAACACAGGUCUAUGCAAAACCGAAAGGUGAGGUAUAUGGGCUGACGCCUGCCCGGUGCUGGAAGGUUAAGAGGAGAGCUUAGCGCAAGCGAAGGUUUGAAUUUAAGCCCCAGUAAACGGCGGCCGUAACAAUAACGGUCCUAAGGUAGCGAAAUUCCUUGUCGGGUGAGUUCCGACCCGCACGAAAGGCGUAAUGAUUUGGGCGCUGUCUCGACAAUGCACCCGGUGAAAUUGAAGUACCAGUGAAGAUGCUGGUUACCCGCGCCAGGACGGAAAGACCCCAUGGAGCUUUACUCUAGCUUGAUACUGGGAUUCGGUAUUGUCUGUACAGGAUAGGUGGGAGGCUAUGAACCGUGGACGCCAGUCUGCGGGGAGCCGCUGUUGGGAUACCACCCUUACAAUACUGGAUUUCUAACCUGCCGCCAUGACCUGGCGGAGGGACAAUGUCUGGUGGGGAGUUUGACUGGGGCGGUCGCCUCCGAAAGAGUAUCGGAGGCGCUCAAAGGUCCUCUCAGGAUGGACGGAAACCAUCCGAAGAGUGCAAAGGCAUAAGAGGGCUUGACUGUGACACCGACGGGUGGAGCAGGUACGAAAGUAGGACUUAGUGAUCCGGUGGUAGAAAGUGGGAUUGCCAUCGCUCAACGGAUAAAAGCUACCCUGGGAUAACAGGCUUAUCACUCCCAAGAGUUCACAUCGACGGAGUGGUUUGGCACCUCGAUGUCGGCUCAUCGCAUCCUGGGGCUGUAGCAGGUCCCAAGGGUUGGGCUGUUCGCCCAUUAAAGCGGUACGCGAGCUGGGUUCAGAACGUCGUGAGACAGUUCGGUCCCUAUCCGGCGCGGGCGUAGGAUAUUUGAGAGGAGCUGUCCUUAGUACGAGAGGACCGGGAUGGACGAACCGCUGGUGGAUCGGUUGCAUUAUCAAGUGCAUGGCCGAGUAGCCAAGUUCGGAAGGGAUAAACGCUGAAGGCAUCUAAGCGUGAAGCCCCCCCC